GGAUAACUGAGCCGGCGCCGCGCUUACCUCGCAGUCCUCGUACUUGAUAUUAUCCGUCAGUUUCCAAAGCAUUUUCAUGGAUCGGCGUGAACUGAUUUGCCCCCUCUCUGCCUCGCACCCAAGUGCAGCUACUCUCGGGCUCUUUACCAACAGCCUAAUCGCCUCAUUAGCAUAUCAACAAUAAUCCAAUUGCUUGCCGGCAGGACUCUCUGCCUCCGAACCAGAAAUUAUCCUUUUCGCAAUUAAAUAUAACCACCAAACCAAGAUCAGCGUAGUCACUCCAGGAUUUUUGCCCAAGAAAUGACCGCCUCCACCGGGGCAGCCACCACCACCUCGGGCCAGAGGUUUGGGAGUUUUAUGGGCUUGGUGCUUUCCCCCCAGGUUGGAGGUUUUGCCGCCGAACGGCCUCCGUCGCUCGGCUGGGGUUUGCGAUUCUUUAAUUGCCGCGUGUAAAAUAAAAAUUGUACCCUGAAGAGGCCACUUGACA